rnacentral:rRNA from 1 species
CAGCAGCCGCGGUAAUACGGAGGGUGCAAGCGUUAAUCGAAAUUACUGGGCGUAAAGCGCACGCAGGCGGUUUGUUAAGUCAGAUGUGAAAUCCCCGAGCUUAACUUGGGAACUGCAUUUGAAACUGGCAAGCUAGAGUCUUGUAGAGGGGGGUAGAAUUCCUGGUGUAGCGGUGAAAUGCGUAGAGAUCGGGAGGAACAUCAGUGGCGAAGGCGGCCAUCUGGGACAACACUGACGCUGAGGCACGAAAGCGUGGGGAGCAAACAGGAUUAGAUACCCCGGUAGUCCCUGUCUCUUAUAC